rnacentral:rRNA from 1 species
GUGAACAUACUUACAACUGUUGUUUCGGCGGGUAGGCCGUCCCCUGAAAAGGACGCCUCCCGGCCCGGAACGGACCCCCUCGCGGGGCCCGGACCCGGCGCCCGCCGGAGGAUAACCAAACUNUAUUUUAACGACGUUUCUUUUGAGUGGCAUAAGCAAAAUAAUCAAAACUUUUAACAACGGAUCUCUUGGUUCUGGCAUCGAUGAAGAACGCAGCGAAAUGCGAUAAGUAAUGUGAAUUGCAGAAUUCAGUGAAUCAUCGAAUCUUUGAACGCACAUUGCGCCCGCCAGCAUUCUGGCGGGCAUGCCUGUUCGAGCGUCAUUUCAACCCUCAAGCUCUGCUUGGUGUUGGGGCCCCACGGUCGACGUGGGCCCUCAAAGGUAGUGGCGGACCCUCCCGGAGCCUCCUUUGCGUAGUAACAUUUCGUCUCGCACUGGGAUCCGGAGGGACUCUUGCCCGUAAAACCCCCCAAUUUUUCAAGGUUGACCUCG